GGGUGAUUAGCUCAGUUGGUAGAGUAUCUCCCUUACAAGGAGGAGGUCGGCGGUUCAAAUCCGUCAUCACCCA
rnacentral:tRNA from 1 species